UAUGGAUCUUCGGUGAGCUUGCAAGUUCCUCAUUAAGCAGUAUUUUCUAUGAACCUUCUGUAAAUGUACAAGAUUGUUACAAGAAGCAUGUCCUUAGACUUCUCACCAGCUGUGAGUUUUUAUGGGAACAGUCUGAAGAAAUUUUGAAACGGCCGUUACUGUUCCUUUUCAUCUCACCACCACAGCUUGAGUCUCUCAUCAAGAUUUGAUUUGCUUUGGCAAACACAGUGACUUUGGUGCUUUGUAAGACUUUACCAUGCUACUUGCUUCUACGUCAUAAUUAUUCAACAUCAUGAACACAUUGUUCUGCAGAGUCCACUAUAUUUGUCUCUACCUCAUGAUUGUUUAAACUUUAUGAAUUUGUUGUUCUGCAGAAUUUUUUGUGUUCUUUGUUUCUAUUUCAAAUACUUGCUUACAGAAAGUUUUUUUGCAAUAAUAUUGCAUAUUUUUGUAUAUUUAUAUGUAUAUCUUUGAUAUGUUAGUAUCAGUUUUACAUACAUGUACUAUUGGAGAACAAAUUUGUGUGAAGAAUUAUUACAUUCAGUAUUAAUAGCAUGUAUGGCUCUCUGUAAUAUUAGUUAUGUUCACCAGUCAACCAAUUUCAUCUUUUCUUUUUGCUUGUAUGAUCACAUUUUGUGGGGGGUUGUCUUGACACUAUUGUGUGAUCCCCAUUUUUGUGUCUUGGCUAUACAGAAGUGACAAAUAGAUUUCUGGGUGUACCCAUGCAAGCAUUACUGUGCCUAUUUUAGACAAUGACAUGUAUAUGUAUGUAUAAUUGUGUAAGAAGAAUAGCUUUGUAUUCUUUAUAAACUAAAUUAGAGAGCUGCUUUGAACUGAAUUGCCAUUCCAAAUAAUUUAAGACAAGGCUGCUUGUACAAUUAAUAGAGAUGUGUGUGUUUUUCCCCCUUCUCUUCAUUUUUUACUAAAAUACUCAACCUAAUUUCAUUUACCACAGAUAGAGCCACAAAGGUUACCGACAUCCUUUUGUUAUUAUUGUAGCCAAGCUUCUUCUUCGUUCAGAAGGAAGGCAUGGCCAGGGUCCAUCCAAUAAGAGACAACGCAGGGAUGCAAAAUUGUUUCCUUUGCUUGAGCCCACUCUUUUCCUUAGUCUGAUUGAAGUACCCAGGGAAAGUAUAACGAUAGCCAGGGCAUUAAGCUGUAAUCAAGAUAUGCAAAUGCAUCCCUACAUAUGAUUUGCUUGGAAAGAGAAAUUAAUCUAGGCAUGGUCAAAUAAACUCUGUGUAAUAUGGAUAAUUAAUCACCAAAUUAGCAGUUGUAGUCUCAGGAGAAGAUUAUGCAUAUUAAAAGUCUCCCAUCUUCAGGCACAAUUCAGCUACCUAAUAUCAAAACUCGGAAUGUGACACAACCCUUGGGAGCAUCACAAAACAACACACUUAGUCAGCCUUUGCAGAUAGUAAGCCAAGCUCAUCGAUAACAUGCUUAUGGAGGACAUUUUGGAGUGCAGGAAAAUGGCUGUUUGUUUGUACAGAUCAUUGGUUUAUUG